AGAAUCUAGCUUUAGGUCGGGGACAACCACGGGAAACUGUGGCUAAUACCGGAUAUGCCGAGAGGUGAAAGGCUAGCUGCCUAAAGAUGAGCUCGCGUCUGAUUAGCUAGUAGGUGUGGUAAGAGCGCACCUAGGCGACGAUCAGUAGCUGGUCUGAGAGGAUGAUCAGCCACACUGGGACUGAGACACGGCCCAGACUCCUACGGGAGGCAGCAGUGGGGAAUUUUCCGCAAUGGGCGAAAGCCUGACGGAGCAAUACCGCGUGAGGGAGGAAGGCUCUUGGGUUGUAAACCUCUUUUCUCAGGGAAGAAAAAAAUGACGGUACCUGAGGAAUAAGCAUCGGCUAACUCCGUGCCAGCAGCCGCGGUAAUACGGAGGAUGCAAGCGUUAUCCGGAAUGAUUGGGCGUAAAGGGUCCGCAGGUGGCUGUGUAAGUCUGCUGUUAAAGAAUCUAGCUCAACUAGAUAAAAGCAGUGGAAACUACAUAGCUAGAGUGCGUUCGGGGUAGAGGGAAUUCCUGGUGUAGCGGUGAAAUGCGUAGAUAUCAGGAAGAACACCAGUGGCGAAGGCGCUCUACUAGGCCGCAACUGACACUGAGGG
rnacentral:rRNA from 1 species